rnacentral:rRNA from 1 species
AUACGGAGGGCGCGAGCGUUAAUCGGAAUUACUGGGCGUAAAGCGUACGUAGGCGGUUGGUUAAGUUAGAUGUGAAAGCCCCGGGCUUAACCUGGGAACUGCAUUUAAAACUGGCGAACUAGAGUUGAGUAGAGGGGAGUGGAAUUUCAGGUGUAGCGGUGAAAUGCGUAGAGAUCUGAAGGAACACCAGUGGCGAAGGCGACUCCCUGGACUCGAACUGACGCUGAGGUACGAAAGCGUGGGUAGCAAACGGGAUUAGAUACCCUAGUAGUCC